rnacentral:rRNA from 1 species
GAUGAACGCUAGCGGCAGGCUUAAUACAUGCAAGUCGAGGGGGAUUAUCGAGGUAGCAAUACUUUGGUAUGAGACCGGCAAACGGGUGCGGAACACGUACGCAACCUUCCCAAAACUGGUGAAUAGCCCUCCGAAAGGAGGAUUAAUACACCGUAACAUAAUGAAGAGGCAUCUCUUUAUUAUUAUAGCUCCGGCGGUUUUGGAUGGGCGUGCGCCUGAUUAGGUAGUUGGCGGGGUAACGGCCCACCAAGCCUACGAUCAGUAACUGGUGUGAGAGCACGACCAGUCACACGGGCACUGAGGCACGGGCCCGACUCCUACGGGAGGCAGUAGUAAGGAAUAUUGGUCAAUGGACGCAAGUCUGAACCAGCCAUGCCGCGUGAAGGAUGAAGGCCCUCUGGGUCGUAAACUUCUUUUAUCUGGGACGAAAAAAGGGCUUUCUAGCUCGACUGACGGUACCAGAGGAAUAAGCACCGGCUAACUCCGUGCCAGCCGCCGCCGUAACAC